AACGAACGCUGGCGGCAUGCCUAACACAUGCAAGUCGAACGAGACCUUCGGGUCUAGUUGCGCACGGGUGCGUAACGCGUGGGAAUCUGCCCCUGGGUUCGGAAUAACAGUUGGAAAGGCUUGCUAAUACCGGUUGAUGACGUAAGUCAAAAGAUGUAUCGCCCAAGGAUGGGCCCGCGUAGGAUUAGCUAGUUGGUGAGGUAAAGGCUCACCAAGGCGACGAUCCUUAGCUGGUCUGGGAAGAUGGUCAGCCACACUGGGACUGGGACACGGCCCCGAACCCUACGGGAAGGAAGAGUGGGGGAUAUUUGACCAAUGGCGGAAGCCUGAACCAACCAUGCCGGGUGAAUUAUGAAGGCCUUAGGGUUGUAAAGCUCUUUUAUCCGGGAAGAUAAUGACAGUACCAGAAGAAUAAGCUCCGGCUAACUACGUG
rnacentral:rRNA from 1 species